rnacentral:rRNA from 1 species
AAUGGGGGGAAAGCUGACCCAUCAAUGCCGCGUGAGUGAAAGAAGGCCUUCUGGCUCUUGAAGCUCCUUUGCCUCUGCAGACG